rnacentral:tRNA from 1 species
UGGCUGAGCGGUAAAGCGCUUGGCUUCCAAACCAGGAAUCCCGGGUUUGAAUCCUGG